AACGAACGCUGGCCGCAGGCCUAACACAUGCAAGUCGAGCGCACCCUUCGGGGUGAGCGGCGGACGGGUGAGUAACGCGUGGGAACGUGCCCUUUUCUACGGAAUAGCCUCGGGAAACUGAGAGUAAUACCGUAUACGCCCUUUGGGGGAAAGAUUUAUCGGAAAAGGAUCGGCCCGCGUUGGAUUAGGUAGUUGGUGGGGUAAUGGCCUACCAAGCCGACGAUCCAUAGCUGGUUUGAGAGGAUGAUCAGCCACACUGGGACUGAGACACGGCCCAGACUCCUACGGGAGGCAGCAGUGGGGAAUCUUAGACAAUGGGGGCAACCCUGAUCUAGCCAUGCCGCGUGAGUGAUGAAGGCCUUAGGGUUGUAAAGCUCUUUCAGCUGGGAAGAUAAUGACGGUACCAGCAGAAGAAGCCCCGGCUAACUCCGUG
rnacentral:rRNA from 1 species